CGCGGGGUGGAGCAGCUCGGUAGCUCGCUGGGCUCAUAACCCAGAGGUCGCAGGUUCGAAUCCUGCCCCCGCUA
rfam:Actinopolymorpha singaporensis strain DSM 22024 genome assembly, chromosome: I